rnacentral:RNase_P_RNA from 1 species
AACCGGAGAGAAUCGCGCAGAUUUCGAUCUGUGAGGAAAGUCCGUGCUCGCACAGACUGAAAUGUCUGUAGUGUUCGUGCCUGGCGAAACGAUAAGUCAGGGCAGCUUGAUUGAACAUCAGGCUGACGGCAGGGAAAACACCUAAGUCCGUUGGAUAUGGUGUGAAUACCUUGAAAGUGCCACAGUGACGGAGCUUCGAGGGAAACCUUGAAGGUGGAACGAGGUAAACCCCACGAGCGAGAAACCCAAACAAUGGUAGGGGAAGUGUCUUGAGGGAAUACAACCGAUAUAGACACCAUCGCUUUCAUGCGGUGAGAUAGAUGAUUCUCCACUUUGUACGAGAAGUGCGCUUCGUUUGCAGUACAUGGUGAACAAAACGCGGCUUAUGAGG